UGGCCGUGAUCAAAGCUAAAAAGAUUGACUGUCGCUACUAAUAAAUUUUCAUCGAGAGGUUUCAUUUAACAUAUAAAAUAUAUACAAAAGAAAACAUAUAUACUAUAUGAAAAUAAAGUCAUACACACCAUAUUCAAAAAUUUUGAAUCCAACAUUUCGAAUCCAUUGAAAGAUCGAGAGAUUUUUUUUUCGUUUUGAAAAAUUGGUUUUAUUUCGUUUCGUGUGUUGUUUUCGUUUUUCUGCUGUUUGUUGUUUCUAUACGAGUGAAAAUUUCACAAGUUAUCGUCAACAACAACAACAAUAACAGUAUUCUUCAGCAGAAAGAGAAGCAGCAGCCGCCAGUAACACAACAAUAAACCAGAGUAAAAAAAAAAAUUAAAUAAAAGUAUUGUAAAAAACAAAUUCGAACAAAAAAAUUAAUUGAGAAAAAUUGAAACAGUUGUGCAAAACAAAUCCGUUUAGUGUGUAAAUGUGAAACGCGAUAUCUAAAAUUGGAACUGAUUGACUCACGUAUUUUGUUUUGUUAUCGUCAUCAACAAUCAUAAAUGAAGUGCUUUUUUAUAAAUUAAAAAAAAAAAAUCUCGAUAAACACUUGCCGAAAACAAAACUCAAACUCUAAGUAAUAUUCGCCGCUAAACAUUUUUGGUUAGUUUUUUAUUUCUCAAUUCUUUCUAUUCGAGCUGAAAGGAUUAAUUCAAUCAAAAUCGCAUGCAAAUAACGUCUAUGGAAUUUUUGUUGCCUUUAUUUUAUUAGUGAAGUUGAUUUAUUUUUAUUCAUUGUGAGUACCAAUUGAAAUUGUCAUUGUGGUGUAAUAAUCAGCAGUCAAAGCAAAGAUAUCGAGAAACGAAUCGAAAAAAGAGAAAGAGAGAGUAAAGCAAAACAGAGAAUUGAAUCUUUACCACAUCUAGUUUAACCGCAGUGACCAAAACCAACCAGCACUGAUAAAAAUUCAAAGCUCAAAAAAAAGAAGUAAAAAAAUAAUAAGUUAGCGAAUACGAAAAAGACAUAGAAAUCGCCUAAGAACCUUCACUUGUUACUUAUUUCGGUCUCCGUGUUUUAAAAUACACACAUAUAUAUACGUAGAUACCAAUAUUUAUAUUGAUAGCAACGCGUAACGGCCGACAAUAAAGUCAAAAGAAAAGUAAAAUACAUACGAAAAAGAAAAGAAAGAAUAAGAAGAAAGAAAGAAAGAAUUCAGUUCAAUUUGAAGAGAUCAAGAGACGAGCUUAAGCAACGCGAAACAAGUAAACACAACGCACCGCGUACAAAACAUCAGCACUUACAACAUCGAAGCAGUCUCAUAGCAGCAGCAACAGCAACAACAACAGCAACAACAACAGCAACAGUAUCAGUUGAAGCGCAACACAAACAACGCACCACGUACAAAAUAAAAAAAACCAGAGAGUUUAUUUUUAAAAAUUGAAAAGUUUCUACAAAAUAAGUUCAUAUGAUAUCGGCUUGGAUAAAUCCAUAUAAUGAAAAGACCGGGGAAACGUUAAAAGUACCCGAUUCUUGUGGACGGUCGUCUUCUACUAUGGAUACACUUCAAGUUGAUGAUGGCUUCCAUUCAGACGGUGGCUCUGUUUCACCGCCACCAAGUCCAAGCACAUCUAGUUCGCCAUCAAUCCUAUCGACGACUUCUGAUCAUGGUUCAUUGGAGAGUGUAAUUGAUUCCUCCAGCACACAUCAUUUGCAAAUUGAGUCUUCAACAUCGUGCAAUUUUUCGACGACAUCGCGACGCCUGGCCGUCCUAUCGUUUGAACAAUGUCGCAAAUUGAACGACGUUAUGAACGAUGUUGUUGCCAUACACGGUCGUGGAAAUUUUCCAACAUUGGAAGUUAAGCUCAAAGACUUGGUAACAAUGGUACGAAAAAAAUUGGAAUUAGAUGUUGCGUUAGGCGGUGGUGGUGUUCAAGUAAAAGAUAUCCGAAUAAAUGGAGGCGCAGCUAGUCAUGUUAUAGCUUCUGAACCGCAACCAUACAAUGAUUUAGAUCUCAUAUUUGGUAUUGAAUUCAGUUCAGGUCGUCAUUAUGAUCGUGUUAAAAUGGCCGUUUUAAAUACAUUGAUGGAUUUGUUACCGGAAGGUGUGUCACGUCGUCGCAUCACACACAAUACGCAAUUGAAAGAGGCCUAUGUUGGUAAAAUGGUAAAAGUGAAUAACAACAAUGACGGCGAUCGUUGGAGUUUGAUAUCGCUGGGCAAUUCACCCGGUCACAAAAAUGUCGAACUGAAAUUUGUCGAUACAAUGCGACGUCAAUUUGAGUUUAGCGUUGAUUCAUUUCAAAUCAUGUUGGAUUCAUUGUUACUAUUUUAUGAUUGUGCCGCUUUGCCCAUAUCGGAAAAUUUCUAUCCAACGGUUGUCGGUGAAUCGGUUUAUGGUGAUUUCCAAGAAGCAUUAUAUCAUCUGCAAAAUAAAUUGAUCUCAACACGGCAACCCGAAGAGAUUCGCGGUGGUGGACUACUUAAAUACUGUAAUCUACUGGUGCGAAACUAUCGACCAGUCGACUAUAACCAGAUCAAAACAUUGGAACGGUACAUGUGUUCACGGUUCUUCAUCGACUUUCCGGAUAUUGGAACGCAAACGAUAAAACUGGAAUCGUAUUUGCGCAAUCAUUUUUGGGGCGUUGACGAAGAGCCAUUACAAUAUCAAUAUUUGAUGCAUUUACGUGAUGUUGUCGAAACGUCGACUGUCUGUUUGAUGGGCCACGAGCGCCGUCAAACACUUUCGCUCAUCGAAACAUUGGCCAUGGAAAUUUACUAUCGCGAACAACAAAAGACACAACAACACAUUCAACAGCAAAUCCAAACGCAGCCAUUGUUCUUUGUGCACACAACAACAACACCGCAAGCGACAAAUGCUCAGACACAAUUGACGACGUGUCGAACGAAGCCCGAUGACUACGAUAAAACGUGGCAGUUGCAACAGCAACAGUCACAAACAUCGCAAAUCAUUCAUGCCACCCAAUCGCAACAAUUGCAACCAAUUUGCAGUACCGGUGUCAGUGUCGCACAAGACCAGAACGCCAAUACAUUGCGACUGAUCUUUGCGAAUGGUGUAUACUACGCGCCUGUGAUUCCCACCACGUACUGCACGUGCAAUUCACAAUGGACAACGUGAAUCGGCAACAACAACUACAACAUCAACAAAAACAACAACAACAGCAGCAGCAACAGCAACAGCAACAACAACAUAACACACCACAAUUCAGUUCGUCGGAAAACCAUCAACCAAUAUCUUCAUAAAUAGACGGGACUUAUCUUCAAUACAAAAUUACUUUUUUUCACUGGCUUCCUCUUCCAUGAAACUGACAAACCUUCGAAUGAUAUCGUCAAUUUCGACAGCGCGCAACGAAUGAAAUGCAUACACACAAACAAUUGAGUCGCUUCCGAUUCAUUCUCUGUGUGUAUGGAUUGAAAACGAGACGAGAGAGAAAAAAAAGAGAAAUAAACGAGAAUGAAGCAAAUAAAAUUUAAAAGAAACAACAACAUUUAAGUGAUAAAUAAGGAUUGUAUUUGAUGUUUAGAAAGGAAAAGUGGAUACAAAACACAAAAUGAGAAAUGGAAUGGUAAAAGUCAAUAAAUUGUCCAGAGUUCAGAGAGUGAAUUACAUCAGAAAAUUUCAAAAAAUACACACACAUAUACACACAGAUAGAGAUAAUACGUAUGGAUGAAUUUUCCAAAAAGAAAGACAAAGAAAAUCGAAUGCGAUAAGUUUAAAGACACGCUAUGAUUGAAAAUGCAUUAGAGUGAGAUCGAAAGUUUGUACAAAUGGAUGUUAUGCUAUGACAAACAGUAUGAAAAAAACAAAAAUAAACAAAUCAACGUGCUGAUGAUGCUACUAAACAAAUGACAAAAUAGCCACCAUUUUUUUUUCUAUUGUUGUCUAAAAGUAUAUUGUACAUGUUGUCUGUUAGAGUUAGAUUUAGCAAAAGAAAUUUAAUUGUAAAAUAUGUGUUUAAACAACAAAUCAAUGUCCAGAAAUAAAACAAUAAAAAAUAAGACACUGAUAACAAAAAAAAUUUAUUACAAAUUAAUUAUCGUGCAGUUAUGCAACACGUUUAAUGUGUACGAAGUAAUGCUAUCAAAAUCAAAAAUUUCACACAUAUACACUCAGCGACACAGACACCGGUACAAAAUAUACAGAAGAAAGCGUGAAAUCGAUUGAGAUAAGUAAACGGUACAAAAGAGAAGAAAAAAAGCAAGUAAAUCAAGCACUAAUGCAUUGGCAUGGAGCACAUAUGUUAUUUAUCGAAAAGAUAUUGGGGGAUAUAUAUGUAUAUUUUUUUUCGUUAAAUUUUAUUUUACUUUUCGGAACGAUUCAAGUUUUGAGAACGCAAUGACACUGGCAAACAAAAUAUGAAAACAGGAAAAAAAUGAUGUUGAUGAUGUGUGUUAAAGCCUAUUUAUUAUGUAAUGUAACUAUAAUAUCAUUUCAAGAGCAUUCAAAAUACAUAGACAAAAAAAAAA